CAUUAAGUGACUGAAAAUAAGUAGUGGUCUCUUAAACCAUAAAUAAUAAAUUAAUGUUUAUUCUUAAUGA
rnacentral:tRNA from 1 species